AUAUCUCUCUGUACGGGAAGGAUGAGAAGCUUCUACCAGGGUUCGAUUCGAGCGCAGCGAGAAAGCGUUGCCG
rnacentral:sRNA from 3 species